UCCGGAUUGGUCCAGAGGUUAGGAUCCCUCGCUUUCACCGAGGUGGCCGGGGUUCGAUUCCCCGAUCCGGAG
rnacentral:tRNA from 1 species